rnacentral:rRNA from 1 species
GGUGAUCUACCCAUGUCCAGGAUGAAGGUAAGGUAAUACUUACUGGAGGUCCGAACCCACGCACGUUGAAAAGUGCGGGGAUGAGGUGUGGGUAGCGGAGAAAUUCCAAUCGAACUUGGAGAUAGCUGGUUCUCUCCGAAAUAGCUUUAGGGCUAGCCUCGAGGUAAAGAGUCAUGGAGGUAGAGCACUGUUUGGACUAGGGGCCCUUCUCGGGUUACCGAAUUCAGAUAAACUCCGAAUGCCAUGUACUUAUACUCGGGAGUCAGACUGCGAGUGAUAAGAUCCGUAGUCGAAAGGGAAACAGCCCAGACCACCAGUUAAGGUCCCCAAAUAUAUGUUAAGUGGAAAAGGAUGUGGGGUUGCUUAGACAACCAGGAUGUUGGCUUAGAAGCAGCCACCAUUGAAAGAGUGCGUAAUAGCUCACUGGUCGAGUGACCCCGCGCCGAAAAUGUACCGGGGCUAAACAUAUUACCGAAACUGUGGAUGAACCUCUUUAGAGGUUCGUGGUAGGAGAGCGUUCUAAGGGCGGUGAAGUCAGACCGGAAGGACUGGUGGAGCGCUUAGAAGUGAGAAUGCCGGUAUGAGUAGCGAAAGAAGGGUGAGAAUCCCUUCCACCGAAUAUCUAAGGUUUCCUGAGGAAGGCUCGUCCGCUCAGGGUUAGUCGGGACCUAAGCCGAGGCCGAUAGGCGUAGGCGAUGGACAACAGGUAGAGAUUCCUGUACCAGUGCUAAUUGUUUAACCGAUGGGGUGACACAGAAGGAUAGGGAAUCGCACGAAUGGAAAUGUGCGUCCAAGCAGUGAGUGUGAGAAGUAGGCAAAUCCGCUUCUCGCGAAGCAUGAGCUGUGAUGGGGAAGGAAAUUAAGUACGGAAGUUCCUGAUUUCACGCUGUCAAGAAAAGCCUCUAGGAAGAGUAGUACUGCCCGUACCGCAAACCGACACAGGUAGAUGAGGAGAGAAUCCUAAGGUGAGCGAGAGAACUCUCGUUAAGGAACUCGGCAAAAUGACCCCGUAACUUCGGGAGAAGGGGUGCUCUAUUAGGGUGCAAGCCCGAGAGAGCCGCAGUGAAUAGGCCCAGGCGACUGUUUAGCAAAAACACAGGUCUCUGCAAAACCGUAAGGUGACGUAUAGGGGCUGACGCCUGCCCGGUGCUGGAAGGUUAAGAGGAGUGCUUAGCUUCGGCGAAGGUACGAAUUGAAGCCCCAGUAAACGGCGGCCGUAACUAUAACGGUCCUAAGGUAGCGAAAUUCCUUGUCGGGUAAGUUCCGACCCGCACGAAAGGCGCAACGAUCUGGGCACUGUCUCAACGAGAGACUCGGUGAAAUUAUAGUACCUGUGAAGAUGCAGGUUACCCGCGACAGGACGGAAAGACCCCGUGGAGCUUUACUGCAACCUGAUAUGGAAUGUUUGUACCGCUUGUACAGGAUAGGUAGGAGCCGAAGAGACGUGUGCGCUAGCAUACGAGGAGGCAAUGGUGGGAUACUACCCUGGCUGUAUGACCAUUCUAACCCGCCACGCUUAGCGCGUGGGGAGACAGUGUCAGGUGGGCAGUUUGACUGGGGCGGUCGCCUCCUAAAGAGUAACGGAGGCGCCCAAAGGUUCCCUCAGAAUGGAUGGAAAUCAUUCGCAGAGUGUAAAGGCACAAGGGAGCUUGACUGCGAGACUGACAAGUCGAGCAGGGACGAAAGUCGGGCUUAGUGAUCCGGUGGUUCCGCAUGGAAGGGCCAUCGCUCAACGGAUAAAAGCUACCCCGGGGAUAACAGGCUUAUCUCCCCCAAGAGUCCACAUCGACGGGGAGGUUUGGCACCUCGAUGUCGGCUCGUCGCAUCCUGGGGCUGUAGUCGGUCCCAAGGGUUGGGCUGUUCGCCCAUUAAAGCGGCACGCGAGCUGGGUUCAGAACGUCGUGAGACAGUUCGGUCCCUAUCCGUCGCGGGCGCAGGAAAUUUGAGAGGAGCUGUCCUUAGUACGAGAGGACCGGGAUGGACACACCGCUGGUGUACCAGUUGUUCCGCCAGGAGCAUCGCUGGGUAGCUAUGUGUGGCAGGGAUAAACGCUGAAAGCAUCUAAGCGUGAAGCCCCCCUCAAGAUGAGAUUUCCCAUUUCUUCGGAAAGUAAGAUCCCUGAAAGAUGAUCAGGUAGAUAGGUUUGGAGUGGAAGUGUAGCGAUACAUGGAGCGGACAAAUACUAAUCGAUCGAGGACUUAACCAAAA